AUGAUCCCAGUGACUAUGGCCUACAGCCCUACUUCAUCAGAUCACUCGAAGCCACCACCCUGCCACCAGGCCUGUCACAUGGUCCUUGAAAGACCCAUCUGCCCCCCAAUGGCUGCAGCUCUUCCUUAUGGGGUGGAGCUCCCGGGGACAAAGGAGAGAUCCUUUGGACCGUGUUUUAAAAUGAAGGAGGGCCAGCUUGUUCCUGAAAUGGCCCGAGAGUAUGUAUGUUUUCCAGUGUGAGGGCUGCGUGGUUUCUACUGCUGCUGCUGCCCGGCUCGGCUGCUGUCUCACCAGAGCUGCCAGGGACCGUGUGCUGUGUUCCAAUAAAACUUUAUCAGCAAAA